rnacentral:tRNA from 1 species
GGUCUAUUAGCUCUGUCGGUAGAGCACCUGACUUUUAAUCAGGGUGUCCCGCGUUCGAGUCGCGGAUAGAUCACCA